rnacentral:lncRNA from 1 species
UCUUCCUCAUCUCUCUGGGAAACAGAUCCACCAGGAUGGCAGGGGGAAAAUUGGGUAGUAGCUAUGCCAAUUAAUACAGCCUAGAAGACUGGAGAACCUCUGGCAUGCAAAUCUCAGAAAGAAAAUGAAAAUAGAUUUCCUUUCUACUUCUUUCUACUUUCUACUUCUACUUCUACAAAAUGUUUUAUUUUCUUCCCCUGGGUAAGUGGACCUCUGUCUAGCUGCAAGGAUAGUUUGUCAGUAGCUUAGGCAAGAUUCCCCAAAUGAAGAAUUUCUCUUUCUGAUAAUAUAAUUAAUAUCAGCACUUUGAUCUGUACUGAAAUUGCUGAUCAGAUAAUGAGUUGUUAAAUGGAGAAAAUGCUUCAGUAAUUACAGGAGAUAUUUUCACAGCAUCAAAAGUGGUAGAAUGUGGACCUGGCAAU